rnacentral:rRNA from 1 species
CCUACGGGAGGCAGCAGUGGGGAAUAUUGGACAAUGGGCGAAAGCCUGAUCCAGCCAUGCCGCGUGUGUGAAGAAGGCCUUCGGGUUGUAAAGCACUUUCAGUGGGGAAGAAAGCCUUGGGGCUAAUACCCUCGAGGAAGGACAUCACCCACAGAAGAAGCACCGGCUAACUCCGUGCCAGCAGCCGCGGUAAUACGGAGGGUGCGAGCGUUAAUCGGAAUUACUGGGCGUAAAGCGCGCGUAGGCGGUCUGAUAAGCCGGUUGUGAAAGCCCCGGGCUCAACCUGGGAACGGCAUCCGGAACUGUCAGGCUAGAGUGCAGGAGAGGAAGGUAGAAUUCCCGAUGUAGCGGUGAAAUGCGUAGAGAUCGGGAGGAAUACCAGUGGCGAAGGCGGACUUCUGGACUGACACUGACGCUGAGGUGCGAAAGCGUGGGUAGCAAACAGGAUUAGAUACCCGUGUAGUC